GGUUCUCUUUCAAUCACCAAAGUUAAGCAAUGUUGAGCCUGGUUAGUAGCAAGAUAGGUGACUGCUUGGGAAUACCAGGUGCUGUAUG